GCAUAUCAAUAAGCGGAGGAAAAGAAACUAACAAGGAUUCCCUUAGUAACGGCGAGUGAAGCGGGAAGAGCUCAAAUUUGAAAUCUUCAAGGUUCUACCUUGACGAAUUGUAGUUUAAAGAAGUGUUUUCUGUUAGAUGAGUAGCAAAAGUUCCUUGGAAUGGGACAUCAUAGAGGGUGAGAAUCCCGUAUUUGGUUAUUCAUUCUAGCUUUGUGAUACACUUUCAAAGAGUCGGAUUGUUUGGGAAUGCAGUCCAAAAUGGGUGGUAAAUUUCAUCUAAAGCUAAAUAUUGGCGAGAGACCGAUAGCGAACAAGUACCGUGAGGGAAGGAUGAAAAGAACUUUGAAAAGAGAGUUAAACAGUACGUGAAAUUGUCAAAAGGGAAGCGUUUGACACCAGUGUUGUUUUUCCGAAAAUCAAUUACGAAUGGCUUGAUUUUGUGUUGUAUUGACCUUAUCAGCUUUCUGCACUUUUUUCGAGUCUUUCUUAAUGCACUUUUCGGUUAACAAGUCAACAUCAAUUUCUUUUGUUGUAAAAGAGUAUUCGGAAGGUGGCUUUCUUUUCGGAGAAAGUGUUUAUAGCCCUAUACUUCUACAAUCGGAGAGAUUGAGGUCUGCAGCGUAGAUCCUUCGGGGUUAGAUACACUUGUGCUAAGUUGUAGCUUUUCAUAGACAACUUGUUGACUAUGUUUAGUCAUGCGGCUUACUCGCUUGUGCUAUUUUACCUACGCUUAGGAUGUUGACAAAAUGGUUUUAAACGACCCGUCUUGAAACACGGACC
rnacentral:rRNA from 1 species